GAUCCUGGCUCAGUCGUACGGGUAUCCGUAUAGUUUAGUGGCGAAUGGGUGAGUAACACGUGAGCAACCUGCCCCAAGCUUUGGGAUAACCCUCGGAAACGGGGGCUAAUACCGAAUAGGACUGCUGGCCGCAUGGCUGGUGGUGGAAAGUUUUUCGGCUUGGGAUGGGCUCGCGGCCUAUCAGCUUGUUGGUGGGGUGAUGGCCUACCAAGGCGACGACGGGUAGCCGGCCUGAGAGGGCGACCGGCCACACUGGGACUGAGACACGGCCCAGACUCCUACGGGAGGCAGCAGUGGGGAAUAUUGCACAAUGGGCGGAAGCCUGAUGCAGCGACGCCGCGUGAGGGAUGACGGCCUUCGGGUUGUAAACCUCUUUCAGCAGGGACGAAGCGAGAGUGACGGUACCUGCAGAAGAAGCACCGGCCAACUACGUGCCAGCAGCCGCGGUAAGACGUAGGGUGCGAGCGUUGUCCGGAUUUAUUGGGCGUAAAGAGCUCGUAGGCGGCUUGUCGCGUCGACCGUGAAAACUUGGGGCUCAACCCCAAGCCUGCGGUCGAUACGGGCAGGCUAGAGUUCGGUAGGGGAGACUGGAAUUCCUGGUGUAGCGGUGAAAUGCGCAGAUAUCAGAGGAACACCGGUGGCGAAAGCGGGUCUCUGGGCCGAUACUGACGCUGAGGAGCGAAAGCGUGGGGAGCGAACAGGAUUAGAUACCCUGGUAGUCCACGCUGUAAACGUGGGCGCUAGGUGUGGGGGGCCUUCUCCGGUCCCUGUGCGCAGCUAACGCAUAAGCGCCC
rnacentral:rRNA from 1 species